rnacentral:tRNA from 1 species
GGGGGCAUAGCUCAGUUGGUAGAGCACGACCUUUGCAAGGUCGGGGUCUGGGGUUCGAAUCCCCAUGCCUCCACCA